UACGUAGGGUCCGAGCGUUGUCCGGAAUUACUGGGCGUAAAGAGCUCGUAGGUGGUUUGUCGCGUUGUUCGUGAAAAACUCAGGGCUUAACCCUGAGCCUGCAGUGGGUACGGGCAGACUAGAGUGUGGUAGGGGAGAUCGGAAUUCCUGGUGUAGCGGUGGAAUGCGCAGAUAUCAGGAGGAACACCGGUGGCGAAGGCGGAUCUCUGGGCCAUAACUGACGCUGAGGAGCGAAAGCAUGGGGAGCGAACAGG
rnacentral:rRNA from 1 species